ACAGCCAACAGCUGCUACUUAGGCGAGUCUGCUCAGACAAGAUCAGGACUACAGUGUGGGUUAUUAUAAAUGCCAAUGUUCUUGAUCUAAGAACGAUCAACUACAAACUUCAACCCUACUGGACUGCUUUCCAUGAAGGGUGUCCUGGCUUCUCUUCUGCAUUCCCACUGAGCACCACAAGAUGGCACACUAUGAAAGCCUGUUGAUGUUGGAGUCUACUGACUCCUCCACCAAGACCAUCCUCAGAAUCCUAUGAGGUUUAGUUUUAAACAAAGUCAAGAAGUAUCUAUA